AUUGAACGCUGGCGGCAUGCCUUACACAUGCAAGUCGAACGGUAACAGGUCUUCGGAUGCUGACGAGUGGCGAACGGGUGAGUAAUACAUCGGAACGUGCCUAGUAGUGGGGGAUAACUACUCGAAAGAGUGGCUAAUACCGCAUGAGAUCUACGGAUGAAAGCAGGGGAUCGCAAGACCUUGUGCUACUAGAGCGGCCGAUGGCAGAUUAGGUAGUUGUUGGGAUAAAAGCUUACCAAGCCGACGAUCUGUAGCUGGUCUGAGAGGACGAUCAGCCACACUGGGACUGAGACACGGCCCAGACUCCUACGGGAGGCAGCAGUGGGGAAUUUUGGACAAUGGGCGCAAGCCUGAUCCAGCAAUGCCGCGUGCAGGAUGAAGGCCUUCGGGUUGUAAACUGCUUUUGUACGGAACGAAAAGCCCCGGGUUAAUACCCCGGGGUCAUGACGGUACCGUAAGAAUAAGCACCGGCUAACUACGUGCCAGCAGCCGCAGUAA
rnacentral:rRNA from 1 species